AUGCUCGCUUCGGCAGCACAAAUGCUAAAAUCAGAAUGAUACAGAGACGAUUAACCUAGCACCUGUUCAAGGAUAACGUGCAAAUUCGUGGAGCAUUCCAUUAAAAA
rnacentral:snRNA from 1 species